AUACUUACCAGGCAGUGAAAGUGCCAUGAAAGUGGUUGUCUCAGGGCAAGGUUUAUCCAUUGCAUUCCCAAUGUGCAAUGUGAACCCCACAAUUUUCCCCAAAUUUGAGAGACUCAAUUGCAUAAUUUGUGUAAUGGAGGACUGCUUUUACAUUAACCCCUA